rnacentral:rRNA from 1 species
GUCGAGAAUAAUUCACAAUGGGGGCAACCCUGAUGGUGCAACGCCGCGUGGAGGAUGAAGGUCUUCGGAUUGUAAACUCCUGUCAUCCGGGAGCAAGACCUGGCCGUGAAUAGCGGACAGGGUUGAUAGUACCGGAAGAGGAAGGGACGGCUAACUUCGUGCCAGCAGCCGCGGUAAUACGAAGGUCCCGAGCGUUGUUCGGAAUCACUGGGCGUAAAGGGAGCGUAGGCGGCGCGGUAAGUCAGAUGUGAAAUCCUAGGGCUCAACCCUGGAACUGCAUCCGAUACUGCUGUGCUUGAGCAAGGGAGAGGUAGCCGGAAUUCUCGGUGUAGCAGUGAAAUGCGUAGAUAUCGAGAGGAACACUCGUGGCGAAAGCGGGCUACUGGACAUUUGCUGACGCUGAGGCUCGAAGGCCGGGGGAGCGAAAGGGAUUAGAAACCCCGGUAGUCC